GAUGAACGCUGGCGGCGUGCCUAAUACAUGCAAGUCGAGCGAACAGACGAGGAGCUUGCUCCUCUGACGUUAGCGGCGGACGGGUGAGUAACACGUGGAUAACCUACCUAUAAGACUGGGAUAACUUCGGGAAACCGGAGCUAAUACCGGAUAAUAUAUUGAACCGCAUGGUUCAAUAGUGAAAGACGGCUUUGCUGUCACUUAUAGAUGGAUCCGCGCCGCAUUAGCUAGUUGGUAAGGUAACGGCUUACCAAGGCAACGAUGCGUAGCCGACCUGAGGGGGUGAUCGGCCACACUGGAACUGAGACACGGUCCAUACUCCUACGGGAGGCAGCAGUAGGGAAUCUUCCGCAAUGGGCGAAAGCCUGACGGAGCAACGCCGCGUGAGUGAUGAAGGUCUUCGGAUCGUAAAACUCUGUUAUUAGGGAAGAACAAAUGUGUAAGUAACUGUGCACGUCUUGACGGUACCUAAUCAGAAAGCCACGGCUAACUACGUG
rnacentral:rRNA from 1 species